ACAACGGAGAGUUUGAUCCUGGCUCAGGACGAACGCUAGCGGGGGGCUUAACACAUGCAAGUCGAGCGAGAAAGUCACCUUCGGGUGGCGAGUAGAGCGGCGAACGGGUGAGUAACGCGUAGGCAAUCUGCCUCAUGGUGGGGGAUAACCAGUUGAAAGACUGGCUAAUACCGCAUGUUAUUCGAGCAUCACAUGAUAUUCGAAUCAAAGAUUUAUCGCCAUGAGAUGAGCCUGCGUCCCAUUAGCUUGUUGGUAAGGUAACGGCUUACCAAGGCUACGAUGGGUAGCUGGUCUGAGAGGAUGAUCAGCCACACUGGGACUGAGAUACGGCCCAGACUCCUACGGGAGGCAGCAGUGAGGAAUAUUGCGCAAUGGACGAAAGUCUGACGCAGCCACUCCGCGUGCGGGAUGAAGCCCUUGCGGGUGUAAACCGCUGUUAGGAGGGACGAAUGCCCUGUUUUUGACAGGGAGAGACGGUACCUCCAGAGAAAGCUCCGGCUAACUCCGUGCCAGCAGCCGCGGUAAUACGGGGGGAGCAAGCGUUGUCCGGAAUCACUGGGCGUAAAGAGCGUGUAGGCGGGAAGAUCAGUCAGAGGUGAAAUGUCGAAGCUCAACUUCGAACCUGCCUUUGAUACUGUCUUUCUUGAGUACGGUAGAGGGAAGCGGAACUCCAGGUGUAGCGGUGGAAUGCGUAGAUAUCUGGAAGAACACCGGUGGCGAAGGCGGCUUCCUGGCCCGUAACUGACGCUGAGACGCGAAAGCGUGGGUAGCAAACAGGAUUAGAUACCCUGGUAGUCCACGCCCUAAACGAUGAUCACUAGGUGUUGGGAGAUUCGACCCUCUCGGUGCCGUAGCUAACGCAUUAAGUGAUCCGCCUGGGGAGUACGAUCGCAAGGUUGAAACUCAAAGGAAUUGACGGGGGCCCGCACAAGCGGUGGAGCAUGUGGUUUAAUUCGAUGCAACGCGAAGAACCUUACCUGGGCUUGAACUGCAGAGGAAACCAUCUGAAAGGGUGGCCUCCUUCGGGAUCUCUGUAGAGGUGCUGCAUGGCUGUCGUCAGCUCGUGUCGUGAGAUGUUGGGUUAAGUCCUGCAACGAGCGCAACCCUUGCCGUUAGUUGCCAUCAGGUUAUGCUGGGCACUCUAACGGGACUGCCGGCGUUAAGCUGGAGGAAGGCGGGGAUGACGUCAAGUCCUCAUGGCCCUUACGUCCAGGGCUACACACGUGCUACAAUGGGAAGUACAGAGGGUCGCGAUACCGCGAGGUGGAGCUAAUCCCACAAAACUUUCCUCAGUUCGGAUUGCAGUCUGCAACUCGACUGCAUGAAGCCGGAAUCGCUAGUAAUCGUGGAUCAGCACGCCACGGUGAAUACGUUCCCGGGCCUUGUACACACCGCCCGUCACACCAUGGAAGUCGGGAGUACCCGAAGUCGCCCCAACAAUAGGGGUGCCGAAGGUAAAUUUGAUGACUAGGGUGAAGUCGUAACAAGGUAGCCGUACGGGAACGUGCGGCUGGAUCACCUCCUUU
rnacentral:rRNA from 1 species